rnacentral:tRNA from 1 species
GAGGGUAUAGCUCAGUGGUAGAGCAGUGUGCUUAGCAUGUGGGAGGUCCUGGGUUCGAUCCCCAGUACUCCA